rnacentral:lncRNA from 1 species
CCAAUUCCUUAAGUUACAGUCAUAUCUUUAAAUCUUUUGCUUCCCUUAACAACCAUGGUUUCUGGAACCAUUUUGGGAGAGUACACCUCCGCAGUCCCAGCAGAUAGGCUAUGGAAAGCAUCAUUCUGUGAUGGCCAUAACCUCAUCCCUAAAGUAAUGCCCGGAGUCAUCUCAAGCAUUGAUAUACUUGAAGGAGAUGGUGCCGGGGUUGGCUCCGUCAAGAAGUUCAACUUCACCGAUGGUUUGUUUGAGCUUACAAUUCCUAAUUACUCAUUAUGCAUAGUAAACAACUAUACAUACAUGCAUCAUGUACAUGCGGGAGUUGCUCUAUUUUGUUUUUGACAAUAAGAUUCACUUUGUGCAGUUAUCAAGGACUAUAGCUACGUCAAGGAUCGUGUAGUGGUGAUGGACCAAGAGAAUCACAUAGUCAAGUAUUCCACCCUUGAAGGCGGUGUUCUUGGUGUCAAAGUGAAGUCCUACAGUGUUGAGGUUAGUUUGACAUCAACCAGUGAAGGAGGAUGCUUGUCCAAGAUGAAGAUUGAAUAUGAAUCAAUGGGGGACAGCUUACUAUCCGAGGAAGAUGCCAAUAAUAUGCAGCAAGGAAUCUUUGCUAUGGUGAAGGCUAUCGAUGCUUACCUGGUGGAAAACCCUACUGCUUAUGCGUGACCAAAUAUGAAGUCUUGCGGGCAUCUUUAAUGGGUUCAGAUUCUGGUGUUUAGCACGUUCGUUUGUGUGUAUUUGUGUGUAUUUGAUGUUUUAUCGCAAAUGAAAUAAAUUACUUCUGUCAUGGAGAUCCAUAAAUAUGCAAGAAAUUCUACUAUCCUUGAGUGUUUACCACAAAAAGAACGAAAUUAGUGAACAAUUGUCAACUUCCCUUCAGCGAAGAAUGGGAAGGGGGGGUCACAUUCCAUAACUUGAAUGAGCUUUAAUCUGUUUUUAUUUCUGCAUGCUGGCUGGACAACGACUGGGAAAAUUGUCCACUCCAAUAAAAAAUAAAUGCGUAUAGUUAAUAUUUAUUAUAGCACAAACCUAUGGGUGGAUAGAUCAUAUCAUGGAAAUGGCCGGCGAUCCGAGGAAGAUGAGCAAGAACAACUUAUGUAAUUUGUAUUGUUAGUUGUUUGAUAUAAACUAAGAAAAAGUUAUUUGUUUUUAAUUGUUAACUUGUAUAAGAUUUAAGAAAAAUCAUUCUCAAUAAGGAUGUAUUUAUCUUAUUACAUUAAAAAUUUAAUUGUUAUAAUGCCAGCAAAAAAAUAAAUUGUCUUGUUACUUAAUAUUAGGAAUAUGAUUUAUAUAUAAGUUUAUAAUCUCGCAUAUUAAAAUAAAUAAAAUAAUUUUUUUAUAUAUAUUUUUGAAAUAUAGGUCAAAAUCCUGUAGAAAUUUACAUAUUUGUUGUGCAAUCCAUGCAAUAUUUUUUAAAAACAUGUUAAAGUAUUUUAGAUUAAAAAAAAUAUAUAAAUAACUUUAGGAUUUUUAGCCAUAUGCAAGAAAUAUAUAUAUAUAUAUAUAUAUAUAUAUAUAUAUAUAUAUAUUAUCUGACCCGAUUGGGUUGCCCUGAAAUUUUUGGUUUGACCAUAAACUGAACCAAAAAUUUUGGUAUGACUCAAAAAACAACCCAAAAAGAAAAAAAAAGAUUAAACACCAAAAACACAUCAAACUAAAAAAAUCUUGAACAAAACGGAUCAUACACAAAAAAAUGAAUGCCAAGAACACCCGAAACAACCAGCAAUAUGAACUCAAAUCUAGAUUUCAUGAAGUCAAAAGCUCAGAAAGGCUGUAAAUCAUUUAAGGAUCAAGAAUUAAGAGUUUAUUCACUUUAAUUAUCAUUAAAUCAUCAUGAUUUGGCCAAAAUGAGUUUCGGUUCAAAACUAAAACUCUAGAAUUAAAAAUCAUUAUAAACGUGUUAUUAAUGCAAGUAAUUACUAGAUUAUUGGUUAAUCAUGCAUAAGAAAGGGUUUUGUGCAAAUAAAUGAACCAAUAUUGAUCCCAAUCAAGGGUCUAAGGCAAAGUUCUUUUCAAAAACACGAAGAACAUUGCCUAGAACCCAGCAAAAAACUCAGUCAUGAGGCAACCAUUGUCAAGCCCAAAAAUUAGCAUUUUUUUGCCUCUAAAACAUGUUUUUUUUAUCCCAACAAAUCACAAUAUUAUAUAUAAACAUGUUUGAAUCUAAAACUAAUAAAAAAAAACAUCAAAAGCAAGCAUGAGAUACCAAAUCCAAAAACAAACAACCUAAAACAUCAUACUGCUUGUCGCACGUGUGCGGCGUUGCGGCGAUGGAGAGGAAGCCCGGUGGCAGCUGUGGUUGUUCUUCUUCUCUGGUAUUUUUUUUUCUUCCUCUGUCACUUCCCGUUCUUUCCCCGCUUCUUUGAUGGCUCUUUCAAAAGAAUUGUCUCUUCUCUCGGUUUCUCCUCCCUUCCUCCUCUCUCACUGUCUUCUUUCUUUCCCCCCCCGUUCUGUUCGGUUUUCCCCUCUCUCUUUCACAUUCAUUCUCCCCUUUUUUUUCUCCUCCCUCUUUCUUCCUUUCGGAAAAGUAUUUAAAGGGGCAGGGGGAGCGGGGUCGACCCUGCCUCAUCCCAUCGUUGCCCAUGCAUGGGGAGCACUUGUCUCCUACUCUGUCACGACGUUGGUAGAGGUGUCUAAUGGAGGCGUCGCUUGCGGGGCACGACUAGCUUCUCUGUCUUCUCAUCAUAAAGAGGUGUGGGUGGCGUCCGAUUUCGGUUUUAACAGGGCACGUGGGGAGGGAGAGAAGAAAAAACAAAACUUCUCUUCCCCUGCUGCAUGUCCAGAGGAAGAAGAAGAAGAAGAAACAGUAUCACCUCAAAACAGCACCGUUUCGUCUCUUUCUCUCUUUCUUUUUUUGGAAACUCAUGAAACGACGUCGUUUUGCUUAAAAGGUGUUGUUUCAUUUAAAUGAAAAUUGGCGCCAAAGCGCCAGAUUUCAAUUUAAUCCUUCAAUUUGCACACGUUUUGCAUUUUGGUCCUUAGUCGCGGAUUUCUUCAAUUAAGUCCCCGAUUGGCCAUUAAACUUCAAUAUUUAUGUAAUUAAGCCCUUGAUUUAACCAAAUCAACUCUAAAAAAUUAUAAUUUGAUCCUAGAACUUUAAUUUCUUCCAAUUAAAACCCAAAUUGACUUAAAACAAAUAUUUUUUUUUCUGCAAUCAACCCUCCAUAAAUUCAAUUAAACCUUCAAUAAAAUUUAAUUAAGUCCAUCAACAUUUAAUUUUGUACUUUUCUUCCUCAAAUAAAAUUUUAUUAAUCAAUAGGGCUCUCACCGGUCAAUGAUAUACUGUCAAAUUUUAAUAUUUGUAUUUUCAAACCUCCUCAACAAAUUUUGAUCAUUUGUUUUGGGCACUCUGACAUCUUCUUUUCACUAAUAUAUUUUUUGAUAUAUUAUAUAUAUUUAUUUUGUAUUUUUUUAUUUUUGUAUUUUUUCUCUUUUCUUGUGCGGGGAUCCAAAAAUAAGUUACAACAAUGCUCAUGUAACAUGGAUUCAAAAUUGGUUUCUUGAACCCAUUUUGAGCAAGAAUAAGUUUAACAGGCUAGGGAUAAACAUUCUUACUUUAACAUGUAUAGCUUAAGGCUAAACCAAAGCUAAAACAACAUUUAUAUAUCAAAAUGAAAACUUGAAUAACAACUUUAAUACAUAAAAAAUAUGAAAAAAAAAACAUUUAAAAAAUUUCAUUAAAUAGAAAUCAGAGCAAGAAAGAGGUGAACGCAACAUCAUUUGGAAAACGUUUCAAACCUCUUUUCUAUACUUGUAACUAUAAAUGUAAGCCAAAACCAAUAAGAAAACAACAAAUACAAGCUAUAAAUGACCUCUUUAUGGGUCUGCAAUAUAUACCUAGAACAAUUAUUAUCUUUUAGCUUUCAUUUGUAAACUUUUACAUCUCACAAACUUACAAAACUUUUCUUUAGGCUUUUAGACCUCUACCCUUAUUUUUUUAUUGAUAUUUCUCUCAUCUUUCUUAUCUUUUCUUACUUUUUUCUUUUCUUUUCUUUUCUUUUCUUUUCAACCCUAUUCUUGAAGGGUUAUUUAUAAAGUUUUAUUAGGAUUUUGGAAUGUUUUAAAUUUAUUUCUAACCUCUUGAUCUUAAAGAGAGUGUAGCAAACCCUUAAUAAGAACAUAUUGAUGCGUCUUUGUGUGUCAAUACACGAAAAUCAAAUCAUUUUUUGCAUGAUAGUUGUAAUAUUAAGAUUUAUUGAGUUGUUUAUUUUCGAGGUUUUAUUAGAGCAAUACUAAUGUUAUCAUUGUCUAAAAUCAUUUGAAGUUGAUAGAGAAAAGAAUAUUUUUUUAUUUAGAUCCGAUCUUAUUUAAUUUGAAGAUUUAUAUCUUCACGUUCAUUCAUAUGAAGUUUUCAAGGUAUAUAUAUAUAAAGAAGUGAGUAGGAGUAGGUGAGUUUACAAAGUCAGCUUCGAGGAUCCCACGUCCCAUCAAGAAUAGGUCGUCCCUAAAAGAAGAGGUGAUUAAUCACAGACUUGGAGCUGGCCACAGAUCAUGGUACGGUGCUGGUUGUCAUAUAUAAAUAUUUAUAUAAAUCAAAAUCAAGGUAAUUAAUUAAAUUAAUAGCAACUAGAAAAUUAUUAUGAGACCCCGCCAGUCCAUUAAUUAAGGGAUGGUCAUGGGUUGGUAAGUUUUGUUUUUGUUUUGUUUUUUGAUUUGGUGAACGAAGGAAAGUUGGAUGCAUGAACUGUUCACCAAUUGAUCGUCCCCUCAAACCUAUAUAAAUGUACAGAUCUGCAUCCAUUUCUCAUCAUCUCAUCCAAUUCCUUAAUUUACACUGAUUUCUUUAAAUCUUUUGCUUCGCUUAACAACCAUGGUUUCUGGAACCAUUUUGGGAGAGUACACCUCUGCAGUCCCAGCAGAGAGGCUAUGGAAAGCAUCAUUCUGUGAUGGCCAUAACCUCAUCCCUAAAGUUAUGCCCGUAAUCAUCUCAAGCAUUGAUAUACUUGAAGGAGAUGGUGCCGGGG